rnacentral:rRNA from 1 species
CUAGCUACAGGCUUAACACAUGCAAGUCGAGGGGCAUCAUGGAGUUGCUGCAAACUCUGAUGGCGACCGGCGCACGGGUGAGUAACGCGUAUCCAACCUCCCUAUAGUAGAGGAUAGCCCGGCGAAAGUCGGAUUAAUACUCUAUGUUUCCGUUGCAGACAUCUAAGAUGGAACAAAGGCUUGCCGCUAUAGGAUGGGGGAUGCGUCUGACUAGGUAGUCGGCGGGGUAACGGCCCACCGAGCCAUCGAUCAGUAGAGGUUCUGAGAGGAAGGUCCCCCACAUUGGAACUGAGACACGGUCCAAACUCCUACGGGGGGCAGCAGUGAGGAAUAUUGGUCAAUGGGCGAGAGCCUGAACCAGCCAAGUAGCGUGCAGGAUGACGGCCCUAUGGGUUGUAAACUGCUUUUAUGCGGGGAUAAAGUUCACUACGUGUAGUGUUUUGUAGGUACCGCAUGAAUAAGGACCGGCUAAUUCCGUGCCAGCAGCGGC